CGGGGCGUAGCGCAGCCUGGUAGCGCAUCUCGUUUGGGGCGAGAAGGUCCCCGGUUCAAAUCCGGGCGCCCCGA
rnacentral:tRNA from 1 species